GCCUGCUACUCAAGUCUCAAGAGCUUCUCCAGGCCACACACCAUGGUGAAGUCGCAGAGACCCCACAGAAAAAAACCCCAUCAACUUGCCUAAGGGCUCAGGGAAGUUGGGCAGGAAGCAAUCAGACCCAGGUUCCUCGAAUAAGAGCACCCGUGCACAUCAUCAGCGUUGCAUGAACGUCGGCUCAGCAGGGAGAGACGAGAGAAGCCCGGGAACGAACUCGGUGCAGCCGCCAAGGGCUACGGAAAAACUUCGCGGGCGCACAUCCCCCUUCGGGCCUCAGCGGGGCCAGGGGCGGGGAACUAGGGCAACACCGUUCCCGAGCUGCAGAUACCCCUUAAAAACAGUUUGCGCCGAAGAGGGAAGCGGCCACCCUCCCCAGUCCUGCCCACCCUCGCACUUGGGUGCAGGCAGAGGGCCCGGAGAGGGCAGCGAGGACAGCAGGGGCACAGCGGCUUCUCCUCCGUGGCCCAGAGCCGGCACGCAGGCUCUGUGGCCGGCGCUGCCCGUCCGAGGUCACUCUCACCAUUGGUCGUCACCGCACUGCGAGAGCUUCCAGGCUUACCUUUGGGCACUGAACCAAGACCUGCCAACCCCCUAACCCUCGUGCAUCGCCACCACCAGCAGCCCGAGUCUGGAGCCUCCUAAGUUAAUUCUGAUUCGGCAUCCCACCCACAGCUUUCCCAAUCUUCGUGUAAAGUCAAAGCUGUCUUUAUAUCCAACCCAGGAGUACCAAAAACAGAGUGACAACAAGAGAUUUAAAAAACAAAAACAAAAGGUGGGUGGAGGACCCCUCUGUUGAAUCCUGAUGGGAAGACAGAGGCUCAGAGAAGGCUGGGAAUUUGUCCAAAGCUACACAGUGAGGUAUCAGACAAGAAGGAACUGAAGCUCAGACUCCUACCAGUGUAGGGACUCUCCUGCCUGCUCCACGAGGAGCUUUGCUGACGGGGUAGAUGUCACGACCCCUAAAUCACAGAUGAGGAAACCAAGGCUCAUGAGGGAACCAGAUGACUGACAGCAGCUGGAAUCCUCUGCAAACCAGCAGGACGGUGAGCAAGGCUGGACUCUGAAAAGGGAAACCAAAGGCGCCCGGCCCCAGGACACUGAGCCAGUGUUCCUCCUACUUAGAGGAAAACCACAACCCUGCAGAGGUCUGUGACCACAGCCUGCAGCCCAGCAUUCUGAAAGAGCUGCUGUGUUCAGGUAGACACUGGAGAGGCCCUGAGCUGAGGAAGCCAGGGCAGGGGAGGGAGGGGCCGCUCCCAGGGUGUCUUAAAGAAGAAACCUUUCUUCCAGGCCAGGCCCCCUUCCAUCCCCACUAGACCACAGGGCCACAUUCCCUGGAAUGAGGUGUGCUGGUGCCUGGGCAGCCCAAGUUUAAGCCCCAGCUCUGCAACUUUCUUCUCUUAGCUUGCAUGCAAUAGGCUCUCAUUAUUCACAGUAGCUGUAUGAACACUGGUCAGUGAAUACGGAACCAUUGCUCCUGGGGGUUAAGUUCCCACAAGCCUCUAAUCAUGUUUUCCUCAACCAAUCAAUACAUAACUUGCUUUACACACAUUUGUUUCAAAGCAUGUUAUUUAAUACAGGUUGUUGGUCCAUUAACAUUGAACUCAGCAUUAUAAUUCAUGCCUGAACCCAGCUUAUCUAGCGCACAUUUUCUCCGUGAAGCACAUCACAGCUCUCUCGCACUUAGGAACAGCACUUCAGCACUACAUUUGGGGGUCAUUUUAAACAGCAAAAAUCACCAACAAAAAGCCUCCAAAUGCAAAAACAUGGCACUUAAAAAAUGCUAAAAGGACAGUGGUUUAUAGUAUGAGUUGAAACAAGAAGGCAGAGUAAUGUCUCAUUCAAUUCAAAUUUUCAUCACACCAGCAUGUCUGCAAAUGAUCAUGAAAAUGAUGCCAGUAUUGAUCUUGGGGUCACAAAUAAAUUUUAGCAAGUAGGCAAAUUUGCAAAUACAGAAUCUGAAAAAAAUGAGGAUUAGCUGUAUCUGUGUGAGAGGGUCAAGGGGGUUCAUGAAAUCAUGUGUGAAGAAUGCUUAGUGUAGCAGAAGCUCCCUGCAUAUUCUUAUUGUUACUUCUUCUAGUUGCUGCACAUGCCACCUGAACCUUCACCACUCCCUCUGCUUGGAAUGUCUUUCCUUGUACUUUUUCCAUCUAGUGGAGCCCAGAGCCCAGGGAGCUCCUCUAGCUCAUGGCUUUAAAUCCUAUCAAAUGCUGAUGCUUCCCAGGUGUUUCUGUUGGGCCUGGCCCUCUUGACGUCCAGACUAUUGCCAGCCAAUUGCCUGCGGAAGAAGUUUACUGAGGGAUGUCCUAUGGCUCAGCCUUGUGCGGGGAGGUAGGGAGGGGCAGAGGGAGAGACAGGCUGCGAUGCAGCAUCACGAGGCCUCAGCUGGUCCCAUGGGUGCUCUGGAGCCAGAACGGCCCUCCAGAGUUGUCCCAAAAAGAGGCAAGGGGUCAAAACCCUUGUAUUCCCACAUGGACCAGACAUGGGAUUCAGGCCACCCCCAGGAAGGAUCUGGAACCUCGGGUCAGGCAGCCCCUGGCCCCUGGGAGGGUCAGCUGCAGCCCAGCACAGAUGGGAGAAUGAGGGUCUCCCUCAAGCAGCUCUGGAUACCCACCACAGAAUAUGGGUAUCUUCAACUCAACCUCCGGUAGGCACCUCAAAAAACAUGUCCAUGACUCAACUGCUGAAUUUCCCCCCAAAACUGCUGCCUCCCUCAGACCCCAACCCUACCCAGCUCAGCAAAUGGCGUCAACAUGUGACCAGGAGCUAAGAUGAUGAACCUCGGGCUAGUCCUUGAUGACUCUCUUUCCUCCACCCCACGUAGGCAAGUCCCUCUAGCAGCAGCCGGGCCACCUCCUCUUUCCGUAUGCCCGCACCAUCCCUGGCCAAGCUGCCGCCCUCCCUUCCCCGGGUGGGUGCACAGCCACUUAACUGGCUGUCCUGAUUCCAGCAUCUGCACGCACAUGUCUCGGCACUCUUUAAGACACCAAGCAGGUCUUGUCCACUUUCCAACGGAAAACCAUCGCCUGGCCUCAUGACAGGCAGGAUAAACCCAAACGUGUCCAUGUCGCUGAGGCCCCCACCCUCCUUUGGCCUCCUCUCUCCAUCGCUCGGCAGCCACGGAGGCCUUCUUGCCGCUCUCAAGGUAACCAAGCUCUUUCCGCCCUCAAAGCCUUCAUUCUUUUCUGUGUUUUGCUCUAUCCCCCCUUCACCUGCCCCCAUUCUUCACUUCUGACAGCUCUGCUCCUUCACCUCCUGAGAGAGGCCUUCCAGGGACCCCCCGUGACCCUCCAGGCUUCACUCUGAUUUAUUUUCUUCAAAGUGCCCUUCUCUGUCUGCACUUACAUUUCUGACUAGCUCUCCUGGCUAGGACUUGCCUUGUCCCUCAGAAUAGAUGUUCUCCAAGGGAAAGGGCCUGUCUUUCUGCUGGUAGUUGGAUCUCUGGUGCUCCGCACAUCAUGUGGGAUGAGCUCAUGGCUGAGCCUCGUGGGUCAACUGGGAUAGAUCCUGUGGCAGGUGUGAGUGCUGGAGAUGAAGACUGUUGGGUGCUUUUAUGGUCACCACAACUCAGCUCCUACUCUGGCACGGCCAACUCUCUGCACCUGCCCUGAUCCCCCAGGGCAGAAUCAGCUGCUUCCUCACCAAGUUCCCGCCACAGUGUACAGCAGGGACAUUUAACACGAGGCACUGCGCAGUGGAACUUCAUGUGUCUGCCUCCCCAUGGCCAAGCUCCUCCAGGCUGGGCCACAUCAUAUCUCCACCCACCCUGUCCCCGGCACAGCUCCAGCCUCUCCCAGGGUGGUGCUCAGCCAAGGUCUGGGGAAUUGACUUCAGGUGACUGGACUCUUUCCUGCUGCAUGACUCAGUAUUUGAAGCCACCUCACCACCUGAUAGGCCUACCUGCUGUUGGACACAAGUCCAGGCCCAGCCUGCAGGGCUUGCGGCCAACUUAGGUUCAGGCAAGGGGUUCACCAGCUGGACAGUAACAGAGUGGUGACUGUCCUCCUCACACCUGGCACCAAGAGCACGUGUCGCUGCUUCUGCGAACACCAGACUGUCGCCCAGCACCUCUAGCCUGGCUCGUGGCUCCUCAUCGGUUCCUGUCAAAGCCUGCUCAGGGCGGGACUGCGGACAAGGCCACCUCUCCCCUUUCCAGGCUCCACCUCUCACCCGCUGGGUGACGUUGGGCAGCCCCAUCAACAGCUGAGCCUUGGUUCCAUUAGCUGUAAAAUGGGGACAAUCUCUCUCUAAUGAGUAUCUCUCGUGGGACUUGAAUGGGGUAAAGUCUCUGCAGUGCUUGGUCCCCAUGACCUCAGUAUACGUAUGCUGUUAUUACUACUCUGGCAUUGAGUUAAGUGUCUAAAUAUCCCAUCCUGGACAUUUUUAAAAAACUCCCAUUUCCCGCAGACAUACUUUUUUUCACAUGAUUUUAAAACACCUGUACUACAGCUUUUAAGAAGGACUAAUAGAAAUCUGAAGAGUUUCUGUACUUAAAAAGAAUAAAACUGAUUUAAAAAAUAAAACUUCUAUAGGACACUUCAUCUACUGUGUGGCCCACUGUCUCCUCUAUCAUGACCCUGGGAUAUCAAACAACAGAGA